rnacentral:rRNA from 1 species
AGUGGCGAACGGGUGAGUAACACGUGGGCAAUCUGCCCUGCACUCUGGGACAAGCCCUGGAAACGGGGUCUAAUACCGGAUACUGACCCUCACGGGCAUCUGUGAGGUUCGAAAGCUCCGGCGGUGCAGGAUGAGCCCGCGGCCUAUCAGCUUGUUGGUGAGGUAAUGGCUCACCAAGGCGACGACGGGUAGCCGGCCUGAGAGGGCGACCGGCCACACUGGGACUGAGACACGGCCCAGACUCCUACGGGAGGCAGCAGUGGGGAAUAUUGCACAAUGGGCGAAAGCCUGAUGCAGCGACGCCGCGUGAGGGAUGACGGCCUUCGGGUUGUAAACCUCUUUCAGCAGGGAAGAAGCGAAAGUGACGGUACCUGCAGAAGAAGCGCCGGCUAACUACGUGCCAGCAGCCGCGGUAAUACGUAGGGCGCGAGCGUUGUCCGGAAUUAUUGGGCGUAAAGAGCUCGUAGGCGGCUUGUCACGUCGGUUGUGAAAGCCCGGGGCUUAACCCCGGGUCUGCAGUCGAUACGGGCAGGCUAGAGUUCGGUAGGGGAGAUCGGAAUUCCUGGUGUAGCGGUGAAAUGCGCAGAUAUCAGGAGGAACACCGGUGGCGAAGGCGGAUCUCUGGGCCGAUACUGACGCUGAGGAGCGAAAGCGUGGGGAGCGAACAGGAUUAGAUACCCUGGUAGUCCACGCCGUAAACGGUGGGCACUAGGUGUGGGCGACAUUCCACGUCGUCCGUGCCGCAGCUAACGCAUUAAGUG